rnacentral:rRNA from 1 species
GUGGGGAAUAUUGCACAAUGGGCGAAAGCCUGAUGCAGCAACGCCGCGUGAGGGACGACGGCCUUCGGGUUGUAAACCUCUUUUAGUAGGGAAGAAGCGAAAGUGACGGUACCUGCAGAAAAAGCACCGGCUAACUACGUGCCAGCAGCCGCGGUAAUACGUAGGGUGCAAGCGUUGUCCGGAAUUAUUGGGCGUAAAGAGCUCGUAGGCGGUUUGUCGCGUCUGCUGUGAAAUCCCGAGGCUCAACCUCGGGCCUGCAGUGGGUACGGGCAGACUAGAGUGCGGUAGGGGAGAUUGGAAUUCCUGGUGUAGCGGUGGAAUGCGCAGAUAUCAGGAGGAACACCGAUGGCGAAGGCAGAUCUCUGGGCCGCUACUGACGCUGAGGAGCGAAAGCAUGGGGAGCGAACAGGAUUAGAAACCCGUGUAGUCC